GAGCGGCGAACGGGUGAGUAACACGUGAGUAACCUGCCCCCGACUCUGGGAUAAGCCCGCNGAAACUGGGUCUAAUACCGGAUACNACACCUCCCCGCAUGGGGUGGGUGUGGAAAGUUUUUCGGUUGGGGAUGGACUCGCGGCCUAUCAGCUUGUUGGUGGGGUAAUGGCCUACCAAGGCGACGACGGGUAGCCGGCCUGAGAGGGCGACCGGCCACACUGGGACUGAGACACGGCCCAGACUCCUACGGGAGGCAGCAGUGGGGAAUAUUGCGCAAUGGGCGAAAGCCUGACGCAGCGACGCCGCGUGGGGGAUGACGGCCUUCGGGUUGUAAACCUCUUUCAGCAGGGACGAAGUUGACGUGUACCUGCAGAAGAAGCGCCGGCUAACUACGUGCCAGCAGCCGCGGUAAUACGUAGGGCGCAAGCGUUGUCCGGAAUUAUUGGGCGUAAAGAGCUCGUAGGUGGCUUGUCACGUCGGGUGUGAAAGCUUGGGGCUUAACUCCAGGUCUGCAUUCGAUACGGGCUGGCUAGAGGUAGGUAGGGGAGAACGGAAUUCCU
rnacentral:rRNA from 1 species